UCGUGGUAUUAAACUAUUAAUAGACUUUAUCCUGACUUUAUUUUGAUAAAAUCUUCUUCUAUAGCAGUCUUGGACUGAUAUAACUCUUACAGUCAAACCGGAUGUUCUGUUCCCAUGAGUAUUGCAACAUUGCAAUGGGCUAUUCCAUUUAAUAUCCGUACCCCCCCUGUCGAGGAUACCUGGAAUUCUUCAGGGGUAGGGUGUUUUGAGCUUGGAAUUCUUUAGGGGUACAGUGUUUUGAGUUUGGAAUUCUUCAGGGGUACAGUGUUUUGAGUUUGGAAUUCUUCAGGGGUACAGUGUUUUGAGUUUGGAAUUCUUAAGGGGUAAGUGAUUUUGAGUUUGGAAUUCUUCAGGGGUAGGGUGUUUUGAGCUUGGAAUUCUUCAGGGGUAGUGUGUUUUGAGCUUGGAAUUCUUCAGGGGUAAAGGAUUUUGAGCUUGGAAUUCUUCAGGGGUAUAACUAUGAAAAACAUGUAUCCUCGACAGGGGGGUACGGAUAUUAAAUGGAAUAGCCCAAUCAAUCUUGCAAUGUUGAUUGCAAAUUGCUCCGAGCAAAUUACACGCAAGUAUGCAACUGUCAUUUUUUCAAGCUCCUAUCACUCCCGUGUUGGGGAAAGGGAAUAACAAAUCAAAAGGACUAAUAUUGUGCCUACCACNNNNNNNNNNNNNNNNNNNNAAUUCUUCAGGGGUAAAGUGUUUUGAGCUUGGAAUUCUUCAGGUUAGAUUGUUUUGAGCUUGGAAUUCUUCAGGGGUACAGUGUUUUGAGCUUGGAAUUCUUCAGGGGUACAGUGUUUUGAGUUUGGAAUUCUUCAGGGGUACAGUGUUUUGAGCUUGGAAUUCUUCAGGGGUACAGUGUUUUGAGCUUGGAAUUCUUCAGGGGUACAGUGUUUUGAGCUUGGAAUUCUUCAGGGGUACAGUGUUUUGAGUUUGGAAUUCUUCAGGGGUACAGUGUUUUGAGUUUGGAAUUCUUAAGGGGUAAAUGAUUUUGAGUUUGGAAUUCUUCAGGGGUAGGGUGUUUCGAGCUUGGAAUUCUUCAGGGGUAGGGUGUUUUGAGCUUGGAAUUCUUCAGGGGUAAAGUGUUUUGAGUUUGGAAUUCUUCAGGGGUAGGGUGUUUUGAGUUUGGAAUUCUUCAGGGGUAAAGGAUUUUGAGCUUGGAAUUCUUCAGGGGUAAAGUGUUUUUAGUUUGGAAUUCUUCAGGGGUAGGGUGUUUUGAGUUUGGAAUUCUUCAGGGGUAGGGUGUUUUGAGUUUGGAAUUCUUCAGGGGUAAAGGAUUUUGAGCUUGGAAUUCUUCAGGGGUAAAGUGUUUUGAGUUUGGAAUUCUUCAGGGGUAGGGUGUUUUGAGUUUGGAAUUCUUCAGGGGUAGGGUGUUUUGAGUUUGGAAUUCUUCAGGGGUAAAGGAUUUUGAGCUUGGAAUUCUUCAGGGGUAAAGUGUUUUGAGUUUGGAAUUCUUCAGGGGUAGGGUGUUUUGAGUUUGGAAUUCUUCAGGGGUAGGGUGUUUUGAGUUUGGAAUUCUUCAGGGGUAGGGUGUUUUGAGUUUGGAAUUCUUCAGGGGUAGAGUGUUUUGAGUUUGGAAUUCUUCAGGGGUAAAGGAUUUUGAGCUUGGAAUUCUUCAGGGGUAA
rnacentral:lncRNA from 1 species